UUCUUGCGUUUCAUGGGUCCUCUGUUUUCAACGCAAUUUCAAUUGCGAAAAGCACAGCAUUUCAUUUCAAACCAAAACAGCAAUCGACCAUGAAGAAGAAGAAGGAGAAGAAGCAACAGCAGAAUGAGAAUCAUGAGAGCAAGAGCAUUGACGACAUUCUCCCUCUUGAGCUGAUUCACAGAAUCCUACUUAGGGUUCCUGUCAAAUAUCUCGGUCGCCUCAAGUGCGUUUCGAAGCUUUGGAACACUCUCAUUUCGGAUCCCGAUUUUGCGAAAUCGCAUCUUCACCUCUCUGCCGCAACCACCCAUGUAUGCCUCUUCAUAACUGACUGCUCCAAUGCCUUUUCCGUUGACAUUGACCCAGUAUUUCACCGCCACACUGCACUAAAAGAGGUAUCUCUCCCUUUCAAGGAGAACACACCUUUGGAUUUUACAGUUAUGUGCUCCUGCAGAGGGCUUGUUCUCUUACACAGUGCCCCGCAUUUUUUUAUCGUAUGGAACCCACUAACUGGAUCCAGCAAAAGAGUUUCCUACUCUCACAUUGUUUCUCGUGGUCAUCGCAAGUACUCUGACUUUAUUUUUCGUUUUCGUCGCAAGGACUUUAUGUCUGUGUGUUUGUAUGGAUUUGGUUAUGAUGCUUCACAGGAUGACUACUUAGUUGUUGUAGCUUCUCAGGAUAAGAAUGACCAAGAGCACUUUGAUUGCUUGUCUUUGAGAACCAAUUCAUGGACUAAUCUUGAUUUUGCACUCUCCAAACCCUUGGGUAUUAGCAACUGGCAAUCUGGUGGGUUCUUCUUGAAUGGCGCUAUUCAUUGGUCGUCUCCCACUCUUAGUGUUAGAGAUUAUAGUAUUCUUAUAUUUGAUUUGAAGGAAAGAAGUUUCUCAACCAUAUCUAUGCCUGAACAAGUGAUGGGUUAUCUCGAGCCCACUCUUCUCGUCCUACUAGGAGGGUGCCUGGCUUUGUAUUCUUCUGAUCGCGGUAAAACUAACAUAUGGGUGAUGAGAGAAUACAAAGUGCAUUCAUCUUGGACUUUUUAUCAGAUUCCUCGUGGACAUUCUGCGCCUCUAUGCUUAUCCAAUGGUAGUGACAUUGUUGCACAAAAUUCUCUUCUGUUACCUAAAGAUUCCUACUUAAGGUUGGCCAAAUAUAAUGUCAGAGGAGAGCUCCUCCAACGCAGAAUGUUUUAUGAUCAUCAUCUGGUACAUGUUAAAGCUCGUCCGAGGUCUAUAUCGUCCAGAACAAGCUACAUUGUAUACACAGAGAGUCUCGUGCAAGUCCCCAGUGAGAUUAAGGAUAAGGAUGAGGAUAAGAAGAAGAAAAAUGUUAUAUCUUUUUUAUAGGCCAUCAGAAUCAGAAGAACGAUGUCAAACAAGAAAAGAGAACUAGGAGCGAAUGUGGUACGAGUAUAGCUGAAUGCAAGGAAGGAAGUGAGAGGCAUGCAACCUUAGCAAAAGAGGUUGCAACUAACUCGGGACAGAUGGCAGACGAUCCUCAAAUUCAGGGCCUCAGAAGAAGCGUGAGAUUGAGAAAGAGGUGAAAUAGCAAGCUGCUGAGGGAAUUCAGGCAGUUAUGGAUUCUUCCCAGUGCUGCAACCUGAUUCUAUGGAUUCUGAUCUCCCUAUUUCUUUUAAUUCCAUCGCAUUUACUGUUACAUUGAAGAACUCUAUUUUGUUUCUGUUCUUAGAGCUCAAGUCACUGAUGAGCUUCAUUUCCUUAUGAUUGUUCUUAGUUCUGAACUCUAAGCUUGUGUUACUGGCUUAAAUUCCUCUAUUCAAUAUACAUACCACUUCACUGUUUUUUU